rnacentral:rRNA from 1 species
CCGAGCAGUAUAGUCGAUCUUGGACGGGUUAUUUAAUUCGAUAAUCCGCAGAUUAAAUAAUGUAAGGGAGGAUUAUGACGUUACCUUACGAUGAGUGUCGUCUAAACACUGGUGCCAGAAGACUCGGUAACACCAGAGACGCUAACGUUAGUCUUCUUAAAUGGGCGUAAAGGGUUCGUAGGCAUCUUUAUAGAUAGAAUCAAAUGGAGGAAAGGAGAAUGGUUAGGGGAGUGCUGAUAUAUUUAGAUCCUAAUCGGAAUACUAGUGGCGAAGGCUCCUUUCCAUAAAUGAUUGACGCUGAGGAACGAAGGUGUAGAUAGGAAAUAGGAUUAGAUACCCAGAUACCCUACACUGUAAACGAUGAAUGGUAAGAAUUUAUAUUUAACAUAUAGAAUCUGAUGUUAACAGCGAUAACCAUUCCGCCUUGUAAGUAUACUCGCAAGAGUGAAAAUAAAAAAAUUAGUCGGUUCUAGAGCAAACGGAGUGAAGCAUGUUAUUUAAUUCGAUAAUCCGCAA